AACGAACGCUGGCGGCAGGCUUAACACAUGCAAGUCGAGCGCCCCGCAAGGGGAGCGGCAGACGGGUGCGUAACGCGUGGGAACAUACCCUUUGGUUCGGAAUAACUCAGGGAAACUUGAGCUAAUACCGGAUAAGCCCUUCGGGGGAAAGAUUUAUCGCCAUAGGAUUGGCCCGCGUCUGAUUAGCUAGUUGGUGAGGUAACGGCUCACCAAGGCGACGAUCAGUAGCUGUUCUGAGAGGAUGAUCAGCCACACUGGGACUGAGACACGGCCCAGACUCCUAAGGGAGGCAGCAGUGGGGAAUAUUGGACAAUGGGCGCAAGCCUGAUCCAGCCAUGCCGCGUGAGUGAUGACGGCCUUAGGGUUGUAAAGCUCUUUCGCUAGGGACGAUAAUGACGGUACCUAGAUAAGAAGCCCCGGCUAACUUCGUGCCAGCCGCCGCAGUAA
rnacentral:rRNA from 1 species